rnacentral:rRNA from 1 species
GACGAACGCUGGCGGCGUGCUUAACACAUGCAAGUCGAACGGAAAGGCCCUGCUUUUGUGGGGUGCUUGAGUGGCGAACGGGUGAGUAACACGUGAGUAACCUGCCCUUGACUUUGGGAUAACUUCAGGAAACUGGGGCUAAUACCGGAUAGGAGCUCCUGCUGCAUGGUGGGGGUUGGAAAGUUUCGGCGGUUGGGGAUGGACUCGCGGCUUAUGAGCUUGUUGGUGGGGUAGUGGCUUACCAAGGCUUUGACGGGUAGCCGGCCUGCGAGGGUGACCGGCCACAUUGGGACUGAGAUACGGCCCAGACUCCUACGGGAGGCAGGAGGGGGGAAUAUUGCACAAUGGGCGGAAGCCUGAUGCAGCAACGCCGCGUGCGGGAGGACGGCCUUCGGGUGGGAAACCGCUUUCGCCUGUGACGAAGCGUGAGUGACGGUAAUGGGUAAAGAAGCACCGGCUAACUACGU